UCCAGGUUUAGUCCCGGUUUAGUCCCGGUUUAGUCCCGGUUUAGUCCCGGUUUAGUCCAGGUUUAGUCCCGGUUUAGUCCCGGUUUAGUCCCGGUUUAGUCCCGGUUUAGUCCCGGUUUAGUCCCGGUUUAGUCCCGGUUUAGUCCAGGUUUAGUCCAGGUUUAGUCCCGGUUUAGUCCCGGUUUAGUCCCGGUUUAGUCCCGGUUUAGUCCCGGUUUAGUCCAGGUUUAGUCCCGGUUUAGUCCCGGUUUAGUCCCGGUUUAGUCCCGGUUUAGUCCCGGUUUAGUCCCGGUUUAGUCCCGGUUUAGUCCCGGUUUAGUCCAGGUUUAGUCCAGGUUUAGUCCUGGUUUAGUCCUGGUUUAGUCCUGGUUUAGUCCUG
ensembl:lncRNA